GAACGAGGUGCUUUUGUAGCAAUACGAUUCUAUCCUAGUGGCGAACGGGUGAGUAACGCGUUGGUGACCUACCCCAAAGUGUGGGAUAACAGUCCGAAAGGAUUGCUAAUACCGCAUGUGGUCAUCGGGUUUAGAAACCGAUGACUAAAGGAGCAAUUCGCUUUGGGAGGGACCUGCGUCCCAUCAGCUAGUUGGUGAGGUAAUGGCUCACCAGGGCGACGACGGGUAGGGGACCUGAGAGGGUGACCCCCCACAAUGGAACUGAAACACGGUCCAUACACCUACGGGUGGCAGCAGUAGGGAAUAUUGCCCAAUGGACGAAAGUCUGAGGCAGCAACGCCGCGUGUGUGAUGAAGGCCUUCGGGUCGUAAAGCACUUUUCUGGGAGAUGAGAAAGGACAGUAUCUCAGGAAUAAGUCUCGGCUAACUACGUGCCAGCAGCCGCGGUAAAACGUAGGAAAGCGAGCGUUUAUCCGGGAUUCACUGGGCGUUAAGCGCGUGCAGGUGGUUCGGUAAAGUUAGGCGUGAAAUCUCCCCGGCUCAUCUGGGAGAGGUCGUCUAAUACUACCGAACCUUGAGAGCAGAAAGAGGAAGAUUGGAAUUCCCGGUGUAUGGUGAAAAUG
rnacentral:rRNA from 1 species